UAGGGAAUUUUCCGCAAUGGGCGAAAGCCUGACGGAGCAACGCCGCGUGAGUGAAGACGGUUUUCGGAUUGUAAAACUCUGUUCUGUGGGAAGAAAAAAAUGACGGUACCACAGGAGAAAGCCCCGGCUAACUACGUGCCAGCAGCCGCGGUAAUACGUAGGGGGCAAGCGUUGUCCGGAAUUAUUGGGCGUAAAGCGCGCGCAGGCGGUUAAUUAAGUCAGGUGUGAAAGGCUACGGCUCAACCGUAGAGUUGCAUCUGAAACUGGUUAACUUGAGUGCAGGAGAGGUAAGUGGAAUUCCCGGUGUAGCGGUGGAAUGCGUAGAGAUCGGGAGGAACACCAGUGGCGAAGGCGGCUCACUGGCCUGCAACUGACGCUGAGGCGCGAAAGCGUGGGGAGCAAACAGGAUUAGAUACCCCCGUAGUCC
rnacentral:rRNA from 1 species